GUAGGGAGCGAGCGUUAUCCGGAAUUAUUGGGCGUAAAGAGUGCGUAGGCGGUUUAUUAAGUCUGAUGUGAAAGCCCCCGGCUUAACCGGGGAGGGUCAUUGGAAACUGGUAGACUUGAGUACAGUAGAGGCAAGUGGAAUUCCAUGUGUAGCGGUAAAAUGCGUAGAUAUAUGGAGGAACACCAGUGGCGAAGGCGGCUUGCUGGGCUGGAACUGACGCUGAGGCACGAAAGCGUGGGGAGCAAACAGGAUUAGAUACCCUGGUAGUCCACGCCGUAAACGAUGGGCACUAAGUGUUGGCAGAGAUGUCAGUGCUGUAGUUAACGCAUUAAGUGCCCCGGCCUGGGGAGUACGGUCGCAAGACUG
rnacentral:rRNA from 1 species